GGCUCCCCGGAUCCUCCGGAUCACCGAGCACUUCUCCUAGAGCAGCCCCUGAGGAGGUGCCUGUACCCACUUCUCCCAUCUUCGGGUGCCGACCGAACCGCCACCCGGAAGUGCAAACGUCUCCGAGGUUCUUAGCGUCUUUUUUAGAACGCCUGCCGUUACUCUUUCAUUCACCCCACGAACGAUUCUUGGGUGUCUGCCCUUUGGCAGAGAGAUGAACAAGACACGGCCCCUGUCCACAUAAAGGAUUGUAGGACUCGGUGAUAAAUGCUGUACCUCCUAGGGGCUGGAGGCGCGGGGGCCGGAUAGAAGAAAGAUGUCCCGGAGGGUAACGGCCCUGAGCCCGGCUGCUAGUUGCGGGCCACGUAGGGGCUCAGGUGUUUGGUGGGUGGAGAUCUCCGGUUGGAGAACAUUCCGGGUGGAAGAAAGGUGGCCGUCCCACGAAAACUCUUCGUGUGCAGGGUGCGUGGGUGCCUGGAGAUGAAGCUGGAGAGUACGCGGGCCUCUCACUGCUGUGGCCUCUCCCGUUGCGGAGCACAGGCUCUGGACGCGCAGGCUCAGCAGCCAUGGCUCACGGGCCCAGCCGCUCCAUGGCAUGUGGGAUCCUCCCGGACCAGGGCACAAACCCGUGUCCCCUGCAUCGGCAGGCGGACUCUCAACCACUGCGCCACCAGGGAAGCCCAGCAGGUUCUUAUUAGUUACCUAUUUUACACAUAUUAGUGUAUACAUGUCAAUCCCAAUCUCCCAAUUCAUCACACCACCACCCCCAUCCCCCCGCCGCUUUCCCCCCUUGGUGUCCAUACAUUUGUUCUCUACAUCUGUGUCUCUAUUUCUGCCUUGCAAACCAGUUCAUCUGUACCAUUUUUCUAGAUUCCACAGAUAUGCGUUAAUAUACGAUAUUUUUCUCUUUCUGACUUACUUCACUCUAUAUGACAGUCUCCAGGUCCAUCCACGUCACUACAAAUGACCCAAUUUCGUUCCUUUUUGUGGCUGAGUAAUAUUCCGUUGUAUAUAUGUACCACAUCUUCUUUAAGGAAUGAAUAUCUUCAUGUCUUUUCUUUCUUUCUUUCUUCUUUUUUUUUUUGGCUUUUGUUGAAUAUUUUUUCCUCACAGGAGUAGAUUACUAGUUAAAUAAUAUUUUAUCUUAUAGCUCUUACUAUAUAUUGCCUGAUUCUCUUCCAAAAAGUUAAUCAUGGCAACAACAAUAUCCAUUUAUGCAACAGUUACAAAUUGAGUAUCUACUGGCGCUAGGCAUUGAGCUCCAGGAGCAUAAGAUGAGCAAGAUAGACAGACCCUGCCCUCCUGUCGCUUCCAGUCUAGUACAGGAGGGUGGCAUUUAUCAGCUCAUCACACAAUAAUUAGAAACUAACACAUAGUGUGAACUAAAAAUACAGGCCGCUUGCCAAGAGGCAGAAACCAGUUUUACAACAAUCUCAGCAGCACUGGUGGUGGUUUGGGGGGUUUUGUUGUCAAUUUUACUACCGUAUUUUACUAAAAAAAUGGUUUGUCAGGA